GGUCCCGCGCGGUGUCCCACUUUCCUCCUCCUGGACGACGCGACUCCGACGCUGCCCCUCCCCAGUAGGAGACGCCCUCGGGGGCACAGAGUCCCCCCAGCCACGGUCCAGACGGUGCCAAGCCGUCACACGGGCUCCCCCCUUCCCUUCUCUGACGGGAGUCUCUCGAUGCUCCCUGGGCCCUUUUGUCACCCAGUGGCUCCUCGUGCACCGCUGGCGCGAUGGGUGGUGGCGGUCCUGCGCCCAGCGCGUGGCGUGUCUGCCCCUGAGGCAACCGGCACACGGUAGGGGACAAAGGCUGAGCCCUUGACCCCUUGUCCCCAUGAUAACUCCUUGAAGAUCCCCAUGACUUUCACCGGCAUGGCCGUGACUGUGGACCCACGCUUGUCCUCCCAGAGGAUGGGGAAAAGGAAACCGGCUAAUGCCAACACGAAAGCAAUACGAGCGAGACCAAAGCGACGAUGUGGUGACAGGGACCGUCUUGUGACAGCUGUGUCACUUUGCAUCUGUUUCCCGUGGCACGAGGGAGGGACAGCACUUACCGCUGCGAAUUUUAUUUCUGUAUCUUGCUCACUGUCAGCCUCCUGCACGGGCAUGCACUUCUACAAGGGUCCUGAUCUUGCGGUUUGUGAAUUCAAGCCCUGCAC